rnacentral:rRNA from 1 species
UACGGAGGGUGCAAGCGUUAUCCGGAUUCACUGGGUUUAAAGGGAGCGUAGGUGGGCUUGUAAGUCAGUGGUGAAAUCUCUGGGCUUAACCCGGAAACUGCCAUUGAUACUAUAGGUCUUGAAUUCUCUGGAGGUAAGCGGAAUAUGUCAUGUAGCGGUGAAAUGCUUAGAUAUGACAUAGAACACCAAUUGCGAAGGCAGCUGGCUACACAUAUAUUGACACUGAGGCACGAAAGCGUGGGGAUCAAACAGG